GUGAUUGUGUGUACAGCGUCUCUUUAUGUCUGUCUCCACGUUGGUUGAGUGUGGAGUAAGUGCAUAUGAGAGCAUGAGGGUGGGAAUGGAUGUUUGUGUCUGUGUGUGCCUGUAUGUCUGUGUCUAUAUGUCAGGUUGGGGACAUCUCAGGCCCUCCAAGGUUUGGAGGCCUAUCUCCCCCUACCACCACUUCCCCUGCCAGUGGCGGACUUCCUCAGGUAUCGGUGGGUUGGUGGUUCUUUGUGUGUGGGGGUGGGCGUCCGGGUACACACCGGCUCACUCCUUGACGGCCGCUUAUCGGGGCCUGGAGCCUGGGGCUCGCUCGGGCCACUUCGGAGGUGGGGUCACUCAGGCACAGCUGGAUGUCUGGAGUUUUGAUCUCCUCCAUACCUGCUUCAUACCCUGGAGGGCGGGGCUGUGGCCCCCCACACUCCCUAGCAGAUCGUUACAUGGAGAAACCUUUGGAAUACAAGCAUGCUGAUCCACACAGGUGUACACACGGGUAUUCACAGACGCGGACUACAGCUUUCUUGGCUGCUGCCUCAAAGCACAUUGUGCGCUGUCUAUCCUGCGUGCUGCACAAUAUCGUUUAUUAUUUAGUAUCUACUGAUAUCUACUGCUAGCUAGUUUAUUGUGAUGGUGCUGUUUUUUUUUACUAUGUUGCUCUUUGUUGUUUGCUUUCUCUUCUGGUUUUUUUCUCCAUACAGGUGAUUUGUUUUUUUGUUGUUUGGUUUUUGUUUGUUUUUUUUGUUUUGUUUUUUCUUCCCCCCCUUCUCACCGUCUCUUCUCCCCUUUGGUUUUCUUUCUCUCCCUCUCUUUCUUUCAUUCUUUCUCCCUGUCCUGUCCCGUUUGUAGCAACUGAAAAUAAAAUAAAUUCAUAAUUAUAAUUAUGAAUCCCGGCAUUUUGAUUCGGGACGUUCUCUGCAUGAAAACAAGCGCUCACUCUUCCUGCUCAACAAAUGACGAGGGCGGAGCCUUAUACCACGUGGUACAGAAGCUGUGCCGUGUGAUGCUAAAAUUAGCAGGAAAAAACCACGGAGAGCACGUCAGGGAUGAAGAGAAAGUGACAGGAGAAAAUCCGUCCCGGACAACCACCCAAACAUCAAUAACGGGAACCUUAUACAGCGCUUCUCUAUACCCGUCGAACUCCCGCAGGCACAAAGAAAUUACGGAGGCUAUCACUUAUCACCUGACCAAAGAUAUGGCUCCAUCAACACUGUGCAAAACAAGGGAUUUAGGAAAAUGAUCAACACCCUAGACAAACGCUACACAGUGCCGUCCCGCAACUAUUUUUCUACUGUUGCACUACCUGCUCUGUACACGCAGCGUCGAGCAACGGUGGAGACAGAAUUUCAAGCAGUACAACAUUUUGCAGCAACAACAAAAU
ensembl:lncRNA